CUCUUCUUUUCAUCUACACAUUCACCUAUUUUCAUCAAUCCCAGAUGACAUGCACUGUACUCCAGGAAAGUCGUGCAUCCUCUCCAGCUGAGUCAGGACAUUCAGAUGACCCCAAAAUACUGUGCUCUGGGUUGGAGGAGGGUGCACUGGAGGACAGUGAUGUUGUCAUCACUGGUGUCCAAUGAGGGGAGGCCUGUGCGGCUUUGCUGAACAGACGGGUGGAGGACUUUGGGGCCGUAUUUCUCGGCCAGCACACACGGUUGGAUGACAAGGUCUUCGACCACGCCCAGGCUCUUAUGAAGAUGCUGCAUCCAUAUAUAGGAGGGCUCCAUGCAACCACCUCCCUCGCCCUGCUAUCCACUCUACCUACACCAGCUCAGGGGUUUGUGAAGAUUCUUAAUGUCUCUGCAAAUCGCUGGAUUACGGUAAGUAACGUCGGCUGUAAGGUAGGUACAGUUAAUGUUUUUGAUUCUCUAGGGCAGCAUAAAACAGAGGAUUUCAUUGCACAGGUUACAUGCCUUCUUGCCUGUCCAGGGAAGAGUGUCCGGCUGCAGUGGCCUGAUUGAUGUCCAACAGCAGGCGGGUGGCUCAGACUGUGGACUGUUUGCUAUUUAGAACAGUCUCACUCUCUGCAGAGGUGAGGAUCCCUCUGUGCUGCAGUACCAUCAGCCAGCUAUGCAGACUCACAUCUUUGCCUCUUUUCCAGGCUGGAAUUCUGAUACCCUUCCCCAGUACUGCAAGGUGCACCACAGCCAAGGCAGUCCACGCUAUUGAGGUGAACAUACACUGCCUCUGCAGACGGACCAACCAAAUUGGAAAAGGAUCCUCUGGUCUUCUACUGGAGAUAUGCCUUUUCCUGCCUCAACUUAAAAGACCCAGAUGUAUAUAUAUACCCGUCAUGCACUGUUAUCUUUCAUGCAUGUUAAUUUUCAUAGUGUUGAGUUCUGUUUUCAUUUCAAAUUAAAGUUGUAUUAAAUGUAAAUGGUAAGUAUUAUGACAUCUUUAUAAUGUUUACUUGUAAAUGUAGUUAAUAAUAAAAAUGUCUGAAUUUUCUAUAGUAUAGUAUCAGUAAUAGAAAUGUAAUGUGUAAUGUGUGUGACAUUUCAGUAUUGCUUAUGUGUGAUUUUAUAAUUUUAUUAUUUAUUAUUAAGAAAAUAUGUUUAAUUUUAUGACAAAUGUGCAAACACGUUAUGUGUAGUUUUCAAUUGGAAUUUUUUGGAAUUAAUUGGAAAUAGGCCCUUACUGGCCCUUCGUACCUUCCUCUUAACAUUCACCAACAAACUAAAUGCCAAAAUCCAAAGUAAAUUUAUUAGAAUUUAUAACCAUUAUUUGCAUAGUGGUAAGUAUGAAGUGCUUUUGAAUUUGGCAUUGUUUCCUUAUUAAUGUUGCGGUUCAAGUUGUUGGUGGUGCAAGCAAGCCAACCGUUACAGUAUCGUACUUGCAAAAUUGUCAGCUUGAUCUCCAUGAAUGAAUUAACUUUGGCAGUACCUGUGUUUGACUGCCCUGAUUGUACCUCUUUGAUUCUCCUGAAAGUAGCUGUCUCUGAUUCCUCUCAUAGACUCUGGAAGGAAUUGUGUGCCUGCUUGAUUGAUUUGAGUUGCGAGAGAGAGAGUGUGUGUAUGUGUGUGAAUGCGUGGGUGUGUGUGUUUGUGUGCGUGUGUGUGUGUGUGUCCGCAUGUACACUCUAUGUUUAAUUUGUUAAAUGUAUAAUUUACUGCAUAUUUAGUAAAAUUGUAACAGCAUUCAAGGGGA